rnacentral:rRNA from 1 species
AUGGCGGACGCUCGUGGCGACGCCGGCGCAGCGGCUGGAGAUGUAGUGGAGCUGCAGGGCGCAGUGACAGCGGAUGAAGUGAAGGACGUUGGCAGCGUCCACGGCGGUGCGGGGAAACUCGCAACCGCUGUGGAAGUGGAGAAGGAGGUGGCGGGCUCCUCCUCAGUGCUGCCGGAGCAGAAGGUGACGGCGUCGAGCAGCGCAGUCCAUCCUGAUGCGUAG